rnacentral:lncRNA from 1 species
AGGUUCAGAGCCAGUUCCAUUACCUGUUAAUCAUUUAAAACGUAACGAUGCUCAGCCUAGAAAGACUCCUUGUGGUGAAAACUGCUUCAUUCACAAACUAGACCAGAAAACCUUACAGUCCCUCGUCCUCAAGAACUCUCCAUCCGGCUCCCAAAAACUCAAA